rnacentral:rRNA from 1 species
UACAGAGGGUGCGAGCGUUGUCCGGAAUUAUUGGGCGUAAAGGGCGCGUAGGCGGUGCGGUAAGUCACCUGUGAAAUCUCCUGGCUCAACUGGGAGCUUGCAGGCGAAACUGCCGUGCUGGAGUGUGGGAGAGGUGCGUGGAAUUCCUGGUGUAGCGGUGAAAUGCGUAGAUAUCAGGAGGAACACCUGUGGCGAAAGCGGCGCACUGGACCACAACUGACGCUGAGGCGCGAAAGCUAGGGGAGCAAACAGG